AACGCUGGCGGCGUGCCUAACACAUGCAAGUCGAACGGAGUUGCCCUUGGGACAACUUAGUGGCAACGGGUGAGUAACGCGUGAGAAACCUGCCUUUCAUUGGGGGGACAACAGUUGGAAACGACUGCUAAUACCGCAUAACAUAUUCGGGGGGCAUCCCCUGAAUAUCAAAGCUUAAUGUGCUGAAAGAUGGUCUCGCGUCUGAUUAGCUAGAUGGCGGGUAACGGCCACCAUGGCGGCGAUCAGUAGCCGGUCUGAGAGGAUGAACGGCCACAUUGGGACUGAGAUACGGCCCAGACUCCUACGGGAGGCAGCAGUGGGGAAUAUUGGGCAAUGGGGGAAACCCUGACCCAGCAACGCCGCGUGAAGGAAGAAGGCCUUCGGGUUGUAAACUUCUUUUAGUAGAGACGAAUACGUGACGGUACCUACAGAAAAAGCAACGGCUAACUACGUG
rnacentral:rRNA from 1 species